rnacentral:rRNA from 1 species
AUUGAACGCUGGCGGCAGGCCUAACACAUGCAAGUCGAACGAGCGGCGGACGGGUGAGUAAUGUAUGGGAAUCUGCCUGAUGGAGGGGGAUAACUACUGGAAACGGUAGCUAAUACCGCAUACCAUCAGAUGUACCCAUAUGGGAUUAGCUUGUUGGUGGUGUAACGGCUCACCGAGGCGACGAUCCCUAGCUGGUCUGAGAGGAUGACCAGCCAAACUGGAACUGAGACACGGCCCAGACUCCUACGGGAGGCAGCAGUGGGGAAUAUUGAACAAUGGGCGCAAGCCUGAAGCAGCCAGGCCGCGUGUAUGAAGAAGGCCUUCGGGUUGUAAAGUACUUUCAGCGGGGAGGCGUUACCGACAGAAGAAGCACCGGCUAACUCCGUGCCAGCAGCCGCGGUAAUAC